rnacentral:rRNA from 1 species
GGAUUGCCCCAGUAACGGCGAGUGAAGCGGCAAGAGCUCAAAUUUGAAAGCUGGCUCCUUCGGGGUCCGCAUUGUAAUUUGCAGAGGAUGCUUCGGGAGCGGUCCCCAUCUAAGUGCCCUGGAACGGGACGUCAUAGAGGGUGAGAAUCCCGUAUGGGAUGGGGUGUCCGCGCCCGUGUGAAGCUCCUUCGACGAGUCGAGUUGUUUGGGAAUGCAGCUCUAAAUGGGUGGUAAAUUUCAUCUAAAGCUAAAUAUUGGCCGGAGACCGAUAGCGCACAAGUAGAGUGAUCGAAAGAUGAAAAGCACUUUGAAAAGAGAGUUAAAAAGCACGUGAAAUUGUUGAAAGGGAAGCGCUUGCGACCAGACUCGCUCGCGGGGUUCAGCCGGCAUUCGUGCCGGUGUACUUCCCCGCGAGCGGGCCAGCGUCGGUUUGGGCGGUCGGUCAAAGGCCUCUGGAAGGUAACGCCCCCUCGGGGGCGUCUUAUAGCCAGGGGUGCAAUGCGGCCUGCCCGGACCGAGGAACGCGCUUCGGCUCGGACGCUGGCAUAAUGGUCGUAAGCGACCCGUCUUGAAACACGGACCAAGGAGUCUAACAUCUACGCGAGUGUUCGGGUGUCAAACCCGUGCGCGAAGUGAAAGCGAACGGAGGUGGGAACCCGCAAGGGUGCACCAUCGACCGAUCCUGAAGUCUUCGGAUGGAUUUGAGUAAGAGCGUAACUCUUGGGACCCGA